GGGGAGGUGCCCCUCAUGAACUGGAUUGGGGACAGCUGGAGCGGAUGCAGAGGGGAGAGUCGUGCAGAAAGCCUGUGGGGCAGAGUCACCUGGGAUGGACCCAAAGCUGCUGCAGCCAAAGCAAAGCCUCCCUGAGCCACCCCGGGGCUUUGGGAGCAGCCACAGCUGUCAGGGAUGGAGGAGGAGAAGUACUCUUGUCGGGCACUGGGCCCUUCUCUCCUGUCUCAGUUGGGCUUGUGAAAGGUGAUUAGGUCUUGGGAGCUCACCUCAGGAGGGAUUAAUGCAGGACUUACAGGACUGAGUCAGUCCUUGUGAGAACAGUUUUUUUAUAAAAAGAGCGAGCCUGGCCCUUCUCCGCUUCUUGCUCUCUAUCUUGCCACCUGACCUCUUCUGCACACAUUUCCACCACCGUGAUGAUGUCCACCACGAGGCCCUCACUGAGCAGUACUAGCUCUUGGACCUCAGAACUGUGAGCCAGCUGAACCUCAUUUCUUUAUAAAGUCUCCCGUCUCAGCUAGUUGUUGUGGUAACACAAAAUGAAGUAAGACCCCUGGGUCCCUCCACAGCUCUGCUCGACUGUUCUUACAACAUGGCCCUGGCUUUUCCUCCUGGAAGGAGGGCGCAAGGAGGAAGCCACAUGGCCGAUUUCACCUAGGCUCAGUGGCCACACAGUGUCACAUCUUCCUUUUUCUGUUCAUUAGAGGUGAGUCAGCUUGAGUAAAGGAUUGGUACAAAUGCUUGAAAGGAGAGGUAAUGAAGAAUUUGUGGACAUGUUUAAAACCAUCACAUUGAUCUACCUGCCUUGAGGUCCGCACUCCUGGAGACAUUUAAGCAGACAUGUAGGAGGAAGCACACACAGUGCCUGGCAGACUCUCCAAAGAGGAGCCAGUGGGGCUGGUAAUGGCGGGAGAGGGGAGGUGGGAGGAGCAGCCGCAUCUGUGGCUUCUGCUGAGAUGAUGCUUAUCUGGGGGACUCUUCUUCUUUAGUCUCCUUGUGACUAUGUGGACAUUGGGACCUUCCCCUUUGCUCAGCCUCAGACCAUCAGAAGCAUCUUAAAAAGACACGGAGCCGGGGGAACAGACGUCAGGGUGACGUUGGUCAAAGCCAGCAGGAGUGAGUUAGACAGGAGGGAUGAGCUCCCCAGUCUGUGGUCUGUUGUUCAACAGGGUGACUGCACUUGACAGCCAUGUGUUGUGCACUCGAAGACGGCUCAGAGGGAAGCUCUGACGGAUCCUCGGCCCCACAAAUAGUAUGCAAGAGAGUCCGUGGACACGUUGCUUAACUCAAUGCAGCUACUCCAAAACACAAGCACAUUUAGGAGCACUCUGUCGUUCACCAUGAAUACAGUUAUAUAGUUGGCAGUUAAAAAAAAAGAAAUAACAACAAAGAGAUCUCUCAUCUCCGUUCAAGGAAGGGAAAAUUCCAGAUAGACCAGGGCUGAGGACCCGCCAAGCCAGAGCAGGUGGUCUGCCCAGAGGAAGCAGAAGUGUGGAGAGUGGUGAUCUAAACUGUGGCCUCUCUGACCAUCUUGGCUGCGUUUAUGCUGGGAGCUGCCUGUGUAAAGGUGCAGAUCAAGAUGCCCCAGUUGCUAUGGUAACACUGACCAGGGGUGGCUACCUGGGAAGAUGUGGCUCUACCAGUCGGGGCCUGAGUUCAGCAUCUUCUCCCAGGGAUGGGGAAUUCUGAGCCAAAGAAGAUGACCCUAAUGUCUCACCAUCCCGCGUCCUUCAGAUUGCCUGCUUGACUGAAACUUUCCCACAGUGAACCUUCU
rnacentral:lncRNA from 1 species